rnacentral:rRNA from 1 species
UGGUUAUAAUAGCAGAGAGGAUACACCUGUUCCCAUUCCGAACACAGAAGUUAAGCUCUCUAGCGCUGAUGGUACUUGAUGGGAAACUGCCUGGGAGAGUAGGACAUAGCCAGGUG